UGACACAAGUGAGCAUUCCACAAGGU
rnacentral:piRNA from 1 species